GGCCGGAUAGCUCAGUUGGUUAGAGCGUGGUGCUAAUAACGCCAAGGUCACGGGUUCAACCCCCCGUACGGGCCG
rnacentral:tRNA from 1 species